CUUAUCAGCCAGCACAGACACCUGACUCUUGGGGAGUGCCAUCGUGGCAGGACUCCGUGAGGAAGCGGUGGGGGAGGAUAAGGUGAGGAGCCAUCCUCCCGUGCAUGGGGGCUCCCACCGUACAUCUGGCACCCACCUCACAGGUGAACCUUCCCGCUCCUAAAUGAUGACUGAUUCAUCCGAGAAGGAAAAGAUCUAUGUGGAGAACAGAAUGUCCUGGGAUCAUUUUUUCUUCUACUUUUCUGUCUGA
ensembl:lncRNA